UUUCAGCUCCUCUUCUAGCCAAUCAAUCGAAGAGGGGAGGUGACGUCACUCCACUGCGACUCAUGGCUGUGUGUUGACAGGUGAAGAAAGAUAUCCCGGACAAUUACAGGAGUUCAUUCUUAAACAGCUUACAAGCAGCAGUCAGGCUUGGAUCGGUGUGACUGACAGCGACACAGAGGGGGUGUGGAAAUGGGUGGACAAUACACCACUGACCACUUCGUUCUGGUUGGUGGAGAACCAAAUAAUGCAGGCGAUGAGGACUGUGCCGAGAUUGUGAGUUGGAAGAACAGCUGGAACGACAGAUCAUGCUCUGCAAAUGUACGGUGUAUCUGUGAAAAGAACGUGUUUUUGUUGUAAGGUUAAAAUAACAGAAUGAGCAACAAGAGGGUGUGUGUUACAGUGAUUUCAUUAUUGGGAAGGGUGUUCUUAGGCAUUAAAG
ensembl:lncRNA